GGGUUUUUUUGGAAUUUAUUUAAGGCUAACCUGCCCUUCUGAAUUUUAAAGGGCCGCGGUAUUUUGUCCGUGCGAAGGUAGCAUAAUCAAUAGUCUUUUAAUUGAAGGCUGGUAUGAAUGGUUGAAUGAGAUAUAUACUGUUUUUUUAAAAAUUUUAUAGAACUUUAUUUUUUAAUUAAAAAGUUAAAAUAUAAUUAAAAGACGAGAAGACCCUAUAGAUCUUUAUUUUUAUAAAUUAUAAUUUAUAAAGAAUUUUAAAAAUUAUAUUUUAAAUAAAAUUUUACUGGGGUGGUAUUAAAAUUAAAUUAACUUUUAUUAUUUAUUUACAUUAAUUUAUGAAUAAAAGAUCCUUUAUUAUGGAUUAAAAAUUUAAGUUACCUUAGGAUAACAGCGUAAUUUUUUUAGAGAGUUCACAUCGAUAAAAAAAUUGGACCUCAAUGUUGGAUUAAGAGUUAUUUUUAGG
rnacentral:rRNA from 1 species